GUUUCGGUAGCUCAAUUGGUAGAGCACCUGUACGUGGUGAGUGAAAGCACCAAGCAAUAACUCUCAGGAGGUCGCACGAUCGAAGCCUGCACGGGAUU
rnacentral:tRNA from 1 species